GACAAACCAAAACAAAUAUCCAAACCAUGACUCCACACUUCAUGGUUACCUUUUAAUUUUUCAUGUGUGCACUGUGGGGUCCAUCCACCUAUAGUAAUAAUGGACUUACACAAGAAGGGAGUUUUUAGUAUGCCAGUGAGUGAUAUUGAGGAUCCCCCUCCACAGUUUGAAGGUCACGUUGAUAUAGAAGAAUUUUGGCAAUCUGUUGACCAAGAAAUGAUUUGCAGAGGCUUUUUAAAAAGUAACCGUGAAAAUCCAUUUAAAGUUUCACCUUCAUAUGCAAAAUGGGCACCAUGGAUUUGGCCACUCACUAGAGCUGGCACAAAAGUACUCAACACCGAGUAUGCCAAACUCAAAGCAAAGAGGUCUGUCACAGAACAAGUAGACAUUGAUAUUUCAGAGGAACAGCUGUCAAGUGAACUUAUGGAUCUAAAGGUAAAUUGUAACAUUUUA